CAGCGAAUAGGAAUGCAAAUUUCCCAC
rnacentral:piRNA from 1 species